UGAACGCUAGCGACAGGCUUAACACAUGCAAGUCAGGGGCAGCAUAAAGUAGCAAUACUUGGUGGCGACGGCGCACGGUGAGUAACGCGUAUGCAACCUACCUAUCAGAGGGGAAUAACCCGGCGAAAGUCGGACUAAUACCGCAUAAAACAGGGACACCGCAUGGUGAUAUUUGUUAAAGAAAUUCGCUGAUAGAUGGGCAUGCGUUCCAUUAGGUAGUUGGUGAGGUAACGGCUCACCAAGCCGACGAUGGAUAGGGAACUGAGAGGUUGGUCCCCCACACUGGUACUGAGACACGGACCAGACUCCUACGGGAGGCAGCAGUGAGGAAUAUUGGUCAAUGGGCGAGAGCCUGAACCAGCCAAGUCGCCGUGAAGGAAGAAGGAUCUAUGGUUCGUAAACUUCUUUUGCAGGGGAAUAAAGUGCAGGACGUGUCCUGUUUUGUAUGUACCCUGAGAAUAAGGAUCGGCUAACUCCGUGCCAGCAGCGGC
rnacentral:rRNA from 1 species